CAGUCGCCGCGGUAAAACGUAGGGUGCAAGCGUUAAUCGGAAUUACUGGGCGUAAAGCGUGCGCAGGCGGUUAUAUAAGACAGAUGUGAAAUCCCCGGGCUCAACCCGGGAACUGCAUUUGUGACUGUAUAGCUAGAGUACGGCAGAGGGGGAUGGAAUUCCGCGUGUAGCAGUGAAAUGCGUAGAUAUGCGGAGGAACACCGAUGGCGAAGGCAAUCCCCUGGGCCUGUACUGACGCUCAUGCACGAAAGCGUGGGGAGCAAACAGGAUUAGAUACCCCCGUAGUCCCUGUCUCUUAUAC
rnacentral:rRNA from 1 species